rnacentral:lncRNA from 1 species
UUUAGAAAUGGCUAAAUUAUAGCUUUGGUUCUCAAAUUAUGAGACACGUGAUAUUUUGGUCCUCAAACUUUAAUUUAUUAUAAUUCAUGGAUCAAAUUUCUUAAAUUAUUGUAAAUUUGUUGAUUCUCUCUGUUGGGAAUCCGGUACUCGCUCCGGUACUGGAUCUUGUGAAUCCGCAACAGAUUGUUAGGAUUCCGCAACGAAAACGUCGAAUCCGGUUUUCACCAUAAACCCGUCUCCUCAGCAGAAGCUGAUACAAUCAUAAAAGAGAAAAAUAUGCAGGUAAAAUAAGAUUCAAUUAAAUAAGAGAAUAUUACACUUGAUUCCUCUUCUAUACAGAGUAGCUACAAUCCGAGCCCUCUUUCUGAAUCUCUUCUACCCUUCUCUCGUCUUCUAUAAACUCAAAAGAAGACUUCUCUUGUUGGUACACCCGUGCACUAGGUGCAUCAACUCUUUAACUCUCUCUCUCUCUUUUUCUCUCUCUCGUACGGCACAUCCCAAAGGCUCCAGCCGUACUCCCUAAAAAAUAAACCCAUCAAGAGCUAUUUACAAAGCUCCACCAAAACGUACCCCAAUCCUAAUAUAUUUAGAAUUUCUACUCCAAUAAAUAUUUAAAUCUUAAUUGAUUUAUCUCCAAUAGAUUUAAAUAUUUAUUCUAAUCUAAUUAGAUUUAUACUCUAAUUAAUAUUUAAAUCUUAAUUUAUCUCCAACAUAUUUAAAUAUUAAUUCUUAUCCAAAUAGGAUUCAACUACAAAUCUAACCAAAUUCUAACAAUCUUUAUCCUGGUUGGAUUUGUAAUCUUCAACCGCUACGUCGAGCUUACCAUGCAAGCUCCACCUUAAGCUUAUCUCCUCCGCUCGAUGUCGCCGCAUCCGUCGCUCCGCCUCGAGCGACUGCACCUCCGCGAACUUUUGGAACCCAAAUCGUCUUUGUUUCCGUUCUGACUGUGCUCCCAUUCAGAACGUACAAGUUCCCACGCUUGUUCGCCUCGCACACGACUCGAUCUCACUUUCGAACCCUCAUAGCUCCACCUGAAGCCGAAAUAUCACAACCCUUCGAGUCCAACGCGCCUAACGAGAUUAAAUUUCGCUUCAAUGCAGGAACAUGUAGAACACCCAUCAGCGUCCUCACGACCCCAUCGUGCAUUCAGAUCUUCACUGUGCCGACUCCCAAAACUUUGCACGCCGUCCCGUUCACCAUCAGAGCUUUUCCACCUUUGAUCGCCUUAUAGGUGGCAAAAGACUCCUUCUCUGGGCAGACGUGAAAGAAACACGCCGAAUCGAGCACCCACGCAUCAUCCAAAAUUUUCGCACCUCCGGUCGCCUCAUACAGUACAUCAGAAUCGAUCAUCUCCGACUCUGCCGCCUACGCCACUGCUGUUAUCGCCUCGUCCUGGUUCACGACAGUUUUCUCCUUCUGUCGCUUUAACUCCUUCAGAUCAUUCUGAAGUUUUCGACAAUUGCGCUUGAUAUGCCCUUUCCUGUGACAGUAAAAGCACUCCACCUCGGAUAGUGGCUUCUUCUGUCGAUCUCCGGUCGCCAAUAUAUUGUUGCCUCCUUCUUCGCUCUCACCACCAAAGCAGUAUCCCGGCUCUGCGUGCCGGACUCCUGAGUCAUCUUCCGCAUCUCGUUCGACAGAAGCGCCGCCGUGACCGCCUCCACGCUCAUGAUCUCCUUGCCAUAAAGUAACAUGGUCACUAGAUGCUCAUAUGUCGUCGGUAGCGAAGAUAGUAAAAUCAGCGCCUUAUCUUCGUCAUCCAGAUUGACUCCGAUGCUAGUCAAUUGGGCCACCACCUUGUUGAACUCGUUCAGAUGCUCAUGUAGGCUUACCGCUUCUUGCAUCCGCAGCGUAAACAGUCGCUGCUUCAGAUACAACCUGUUCGUCAAGGAUUUGGUCAUAUACAGAUUUUCUAAUUUCUUCCACAACUUCGCCGGUGUCGUCUUGCUGGCUACGUUUUAAAGAACCUCAUCUGCUAAUAAUAGAUGAAGCGUACUCAGCACCUUCUGCUCCAUCUUCGUCCAUGCCGCAUCCGUGACCUCCGCCGGCUUCGCCUCCAUCCCGUUCAACGCCUCGUCCAACUCUUGUUGUACGAGGAUUGCUCGUACUUUAAUUUGCCAUAAUCCGAAAUUAUUCUUGCCGUCGAACUUCUCGAUUUCGAAUUUCGUGGCCAUCUUCGUCGAUCUCUCCCUCGGAUUGAUAAACUUCAGCUCUAAUACCAAUUGUUGGGAAUCUGGUACUCGCUCCGGUACCGGAUCUUGUGAAUCCGCAAUAGAUUGUUGGGAUUCCGCAUUAGAAACGUCGAAUCGGGUUUUCACCAUAAAGCCGUCUCCUCAGCAGAAGCUGAUACAAUCAUAAAAGAGAAAAAUAUGCAGGUAAAAUAAGAUUCAAUUAAAUAAGAGAAGAUUACACCAGACUCCUCUUCUGUACAGAUCUAGUAGCUACAACCCGAGCCCUCUUUCUGCAUCUCUUCUACCCUUCUCUCGUCUUCUAUAAACUCAAAAGAAGACUUCUCUUGUUGGUACACCCGUGCACUAGGU